rnacentral:tRNA from 1 species
AGGGCUAUAGCUUAAUUGGUAAAGCCAACUGCUCAUAAUAGUUUAGAUGAGUGUUCAAAUCAUUCUGGCCUUA